GGCUUCCUGGCGGAAUGGUAUACGCGGUGGACUCAAAAUCCACUGUCCGUAAGGGCGUGAGAGUUCGAGUCUCUCGGAAGCCA
rnacentral:tRNA from 1 species